UACGAAGGGGGCUAGCGUUGCUCGGAAUCACUGGGCGUAAAGCGCACGUAGGCGGCUUUGUAAGUCAGAGGUGAAAGCCCGGAGCUUAACUCCGGAAUAGCCUUUGAGACUGCAUCGCUUGAAUCCAGGAGAGGUGAGUGGAAUUCCGAGUGUAGAGGUGAAAUUCGUAGAUAUUCGGAAGAACACCAGUGGCGAAGGCGGCUCACUGGACUGGUAUUGACGCUGAGGUGCGAAAGCGUGGGGAGCAAACAGG
rnacentral:rRNA from 1 species